rnacentral:rRNA from 1 species
AUUGAACGCUGGCGGCAGGCCUAACACAUGCAAGUCGAGCGGAUGAAGGGAGCUUGCUCCUGGAUUCAGCGGCGGACGGGUGAGUAAUGCCUAGGAAUCUGCCUGGUAGUGGGGGAUAACGUCCGGAAACGGGCGCUAAUACCGCAUACGUCCUGAGGGAGAAAGUGGGGGAUCUUCGGACCUCACGCUAUCAGAUGAGCCUAGGUCGGAUUAGCUAGUUGGUGGGGUAAAGGCCUACCAAGGCGACGAUCCGUAACUGGUCUGAGAGGAUGAUCAGUCACACUGGAACUGAGAAACGGUCCAGAGUCCUACGGGAGGCAGCAGUGGGGAAUAUUGGACAAUGGGCGAAAGCAUGAUCCAGCCAUGCCGCGUGUGUGAAGAAGGUCUUCGGAUUGUAAAGCACUUUAAGGUGGGAGGAAGGGCAGUAAGGUAAUACCUUGCUGUUUUGACGUUACCAACAGAAUAAGCACCGGCUAACUUCGUG